rnacentral:rRNA from 1 species
GAUGAACGCUGGCGGCGUGCCUAAUACAUGCAAGUCGAGCGAACAGACGAGGAGCUUGCUCCUCUGACGUUAGCGGCGGACGGGUGAGUAACACGUGGAUAACCUACUUAUAAGACUGGGAUAACUUCGGGAAACCGGAGCUAAUACCGGAUAACAUGUUGAACCGCAUGGUUCAACAGUGAAAGACGGUCUUGCUGUCACUUAUAGAUGGAUCCGCGCCGCAUUAGCUAGUUGGUAAGGUAACGGCUUACCAAGGCAACGAUGCGUAGCCGACCUGAGAGGGUGAUCGGCCACACUGGAACUGAGACACGGUCCAGACUCCUACGGGAGGCAGCAGUAGGGAAUCUUCCGCAAAGGGCGAAAGCCUGACGGAGCAACGCCGCGUGAGUGAAGAAGGUCUUCGGAUCGUAAAACUCUGUUAUUAGGGAAGAACAAAUGUGUAAGUAACUAUGCACGUCUUGACGGUACCUAAUCAGAAAGCCACGGCUAACUACGUG